UUUAUUUGGCAUUUAUUUGGCAUUUAUCGCUUUUUUUUUCUUUUUUUCUUUUUUUAAAUUGCUGUAACUUAAAAGUAUUGCGUAUAAUAUAAUUUCGUCAAUGUAUGUGAAAGUAUAAAUACAUACGAACACAUAUAUAUAUAUAUAUAUAUAUAUAUGCAUAUGUAAACAUAUUUAUGUAUUAUUCAUACAUAUUUGUUUUUAUUUAUGUAUAACAAAUAUUGAAGAUGUUAACAUUUAUAAAAAAGGCCUCUAAGGGUUUCGUCUACUGUUGCUCCUGUUGUAAAAAGUAUGGAUAAAAAAAAAAUAUGAGAAUAAACUAGCUGACAUAAGAAUGUACCUGUGUUUGCAUAUGAACAUAUAUGUAUAUAUAUACUUGUGUUAACUAUUAAGUAAACUUAUGUUUAAACCUGUAAACAUAGUCCAUUUAUGUCCGUUCAUUUGUGUUCGCUCAUUUGUGUUUUCUCAUUUGUGUUCUCUCAUUUGUGUUCUCUCAUUUGUGUUCAUCUCUGAUCAAGCGUUUUUAAAUAACAUUACAUUGAUAAAAAUAUAAUGAUUAUUUUUAAUAAUAUAUCAGCAAAAUAUAUUAUUUUAUGCACAUUUCGUGAGACGCUCUUAACAUGUUCAUAGCACAUUCGUUAUUUUUUAAAAACGGCGUAGUUCUUGUGUUUUACAUUUACUUGUCUCUAAUUUUUAUAUUUUGCUUUACUUUCAAAUUUUCUAGUUUUAAAGUUCGUAAGUUUUUUAGUGAAGAUUAUUUUUGGACUAAAGCCAACAUCGGCCCACUUUGUAUUGGCAUUUUAACAGCACCCUAUUGGUUUUCAGCAUUAAAAAAUUUUUACUGGACUACACGUUAUGAACGAUUAAAUCAACAGGAAAUAUUGUCUGAUAGAUUUACUUGGUUAUAUGAAAGGAUGUUAGAAGACGAAGUACAUAAAACUCUUUUACGCAAAUUGCCUUCAUACAAUUUUAAAGACAGUGGUCCAGAAAAUAUAUUAGGACCCAGCAAAAUAUAACAUUUUUUUUUUUUUUUUUUUUUUUUGGCUGUAAUCACAUAUACAUACAUAUAUAUAUGUAUAUAUAUUUAUGGUAAAUUAAGAGUGAUUGAUUUAAAAUAAUUAUGUAUAGUAUAAUAACGAUAGUACAGAGUUGCAAAUAUUAAUUUAUAUAUAUAUAUAUAUAUAUAUAUAUUUACAUGUGGAUGAACCACCUAUGUAUGGUUCCAUUAGAAUAUUGCUAAUAUAUAUUCUAACGAACUAUCUAACUGUAUUUAUAAUUAUAUUACUAUACAUACCUUUUUACAAAACAUCACAAUAAAUAUAGCC
rnacentral:lncRNA from 1 species